GACGAACGCUGGCGGCGUGCUUAACACAUGCAAGUCGAACGGAAAGGCCCUGCUUUUGUGGGGUGCUCGAGUGGCGAACGGGUGAGUAACACGUGAGUAACCUGCCCUUGACUUUGGGAUAACUUCAGGGAACUGGGGCUAAUACCGGAUAGGAGCUCCUGCUGCAUGGUGGGGGUUGGAAAGUUUCGGCGGUUGGGGAUGGACUCGCAGCUUCUCAGCUUGUUGGUGGGGUAGUGGCUGACCAAGGCUUUGACGGGUAGCCGGCCUGAGAGGGUGACCGGCCACAUGGGGACUGAGAGACGGACCAGACGCCUACGGGAGGCAGCAGGGGGGAAUAUUGCAGAAUGGGCGGAAGCCUGAUGCAGCAACGUCGCGUGCGUGAUGACGUCCUUCGGGUUGUAAACCGCUUUGGCCUGAGACGAACCGUUAUUGACGGUAAUGGGUAAAGAAGCACCGGCUAACUACGUG
rnacentral:rRNA from 1 species